CAGCAGCCGCGGUAAUACGUAGGUGGCAAGCGUUAUCCGGAAUUAUUGGGCGUAAAGCGCGCGUAGGCGGUUUUUUAAGUCUGAUGUGAAAGCCCACGGCUCAACCGUGGAGGGUCAUCGGAAACUGGAAAACUUGAGUGCAGAAGAGGAAAGUGGAAUUCCAUGUGUAGCGGUGAAAUGCGCAGAGAUAUGGAGGAACACCAGUGGCGAAGGCGACUUUCUGGUCUGUAACUGACGCUGAUGUGCGAAAGCGUGGGGAUCAAACAGGAUUAGAUACCCCUGUAGUCCCUGUCUCUUAUAC
rnacentral:rRNA from 1 species